GGCAGACCUGUAGCCAGCCCCUAAGCAGGCAUGGCUACAGGUUCCCCUACACAUAUCGAUCUUGAUGGAGUUAAAAACAGGACACAAAGUUGGACUCCAACCUCUCCCAACCAGCCACCCACUACCAGUUCUCCAAGAAAGCAACUCCCACAGAGUGAUUGAUGGCUUGGAAAGAGUUUGCCAAGGCUAUGAUGGACAGGGAACACCUCACAAUGAGCGUUAUUGACAGUGGUAUCUCCAGCAGCCACAUGUGGAAAUAGGUUUGGGCUUUCUUCAUACAACUGGGCCACACCAAGAAACUUUCAACUCUAUCUCUGAGAGCUGACACAGAAGACUGUGUCUUCUCCUGUCACCUCUUCAAUUAGUUCCAAUCACCCUUAUUCCAGUGAUUAAGAGGAAGGAUAUGUCUACUUACCCUAUAUUCUCUAAAUCUGAACCUGAAAUACAUACUUCAAAUCCUAGUGUCAAACAAAACUUGUGUGGAAGUUGCAAAUUGCACUUAAAAUCAAUAAUAAGUUGUCAAGUAAGCUAACUGUCUAGAUUCUAAGAAUAUUGAUGUUUGUUUGAAUUUUGGUAUGAUCUUCAAAACUGUAUAUUAAAGUUUAUACUCCAGCCUGGGCCACAGUGAAUCUCUGGCUAUUUUGGAUUAUAUGGCUUCUCUGCAAGAACUUGCCUCAAAAAAUCUAUAUUAAAAAACAUAAAGGAAAAAAAGUAACCAAAACUGCUUCCUAACCUGUUAUGAAUAAUAGAGCAUAUGUUCAACCAAGGAAACUGGAAGAAAACAAACUAACAAAACAAAACAGAAAAAACACUUGCACUUGCUAAGAUUUCAUAUUACAAAUCCAGUAUUUUCCAUCACACUGAUUUGGUGCAAUCAGUCUAGUUCUUAACUUCCAAAUUUCCUUGUCUGCAAUUAAACUCCAGAGGGAUAGAAAAAUUCCAUUGGCUUUUUCUGUAAUUCUUGCUUGACCCAUAUAUUAUGUUCAAGCAUAGGAUCUGCUGAGAAGCUUAUAAAAAUUUUUGAAAAGCUCUUUAGGGACAAUUUUGUCACCUUUGAUUGAACUACCUAUAGAUACACACACAGCUGCCUCUAGAGACCUACCUGCUGCCUGACUGUGCUUUGUGCAGUGGAAGCAGCACCAUGAAUAGGUCUGGGUGCAUUGGAACUCACAAGAUCUGCCUACCUCUGAGUGCCAAAUGCAUCUGAGGAUCAAAAGCAUCUGGCACUAUGUCUGGGAAGGAGUAGUAUUUUAAGUAUGUUCAGAAUAUUCUGGGAAGACAAGGAAAAGAAGAUUGCACUCUGAUGACAGUCUUUAAACUGAGCUGGAAAACAUACACUCAGUGCUGUGCUUAAGCUAUCUGCUUCCUUAGCCAACUAGAAAUCUAAGGAGGCCCUUGGUGGUUUGCCUCUCUGUUGCCUCAGGCAUUCAUUGCCCUCACAUAUCUGGUGUGCGUGAGUGGAGCACAUUAGAUGUCUUGAACUUUCUGAGAAUAAACAAAAAUGUUAGAGGAGAAUGAAAGGCAUAAUUUUGAUUUAUAGAAGAUAUGCAAAUCUGUGUAUUUCAGGAAAAUUCUAAUUUUAGAUAAAUUAGUUUUAGAUGUGACUUUGAAUUAAUUUGGAGCAAAAAUUUAAAGCAAUACUAGUUUAAUUCCUAUCAUGGGCAGUGACUGUUAGUUGCGUGGAAACUUCAGAUGUUGGGGUCAAGAUAGCCAUAGUUAUCAGCUUUCUCUUUCCUUACUACAGCUGUGACAUCAAAAUUAGCUGCAUAUCCAAUCAGGGACUAAGGGGAUCUACCUUCAUCUUUGCAAAAAUCUGAGAAGACUGUCAAACUAGACCAGGCAAGGGAUGGGAGGGAGUUUAGGACUAGUGAAAGUAGUGCCUACUCUUCCAUCCCCAUCAAUCAUUUAUGUUGCCAUGUGAGCUCUGUUUUUAUUCUGUAAAAGCUUUUCCUUCUGGCUCAGGUUGGUUCCAGUGUGAAACUUUGUUAUGCUCCCAAAUGUUUCUGUCAUCAGAGAUCUAACUAGCUUGUAUCUGUGACCACAUCCUACUGAAAGGAAUUAAAUGAGAAAAAAAUGAAAACAAAACCGACACGAUCAUUUUAUGCUGCAUCAUAUAACAAUGGCUCAGAACCCAAUAGUUUAUGAAUGAAAUAAAGAUACUUUAUUUAUUACACAGGCACUUGGAGAUUCACAUGCCCAAACACAGCUGAUACACUUAACAGCUAAGGAAACACACACAGGUGUCUGCUUGUAGGCUCAGGAGAGGACUUCCUCUGUGCCAUGGUGAAUGAGUGCAUUAACAAUUUUUCCUUUGCUUUCCUCUAAGUAUUUCCAAGAGUUACACGUCAAAUAAUAUGCAACAAAAACUUAUCUACAUUCCAACUGGUAUGCUAACUUGAAUUGUGAGCAAUGUAAACUUUUAUCACAAUGCAACAUAUUUUAUAGUCAUGCUUGAACAGAUUAGGUUAGUAGCAUGCAUUCCAUUCUGCAAUAUGAAUACUGUUAAACUAUUUUCCAGCAAAACUCAAAAGACGCCCAGUGCAUAGAAAAAUACAAAUCACUGUAGUCAAUAUAUUAUGAGACUGAUUUGGGACUUACAUGGUGAUGAUGAAAUCCUAAAAUGCCAUGCCCACAAAAGCACAUUAAAAAGGGGAUAAACAUAUUGCAUUAGACAAACCCUAAAGAUUAAGGAUGAGAGCUUUAAAUUUCGGGGGACGUUCUUGCUGUGUGCUUUGAACAGGGCCUUUUCUGCUCACCUCCUUCUGGCUUGACUGGUCCAUCAGACAUCACUUUCCUGAGGGCUAGCUGGCUUUGGUCUUGGUUGCCAUUGGCUGGUGGAGGCAGAUUAUCAGACUGAGUUCUUUGAAUGGGGAGGACGCCUGCUAUGCUGUGUCUGUGCUGCUUCCUGGCAUGGUUACACUGACCGCUUUUAUGUGCUGCUGUGGCAGUGUGGGUGAAAUGGAAACCCAGAGUGUAUCCUCAGAUGGAACCAGCUUCAAUGUUAUUCAUGCAAACAGAAGUGGGCUUUUUUGUUCUGGUGAAACUGUGUUUUCCAAUGCCAAAAUGACACCACAUGCACAGCACUGAAGGGAAUUAAAACUGGCUGUUUCCUUGGAAAUGAUGACCAGAGAGAUGAGGAAAACAACAAGCUGCACCCCCCCCCCUGGAUGAUGCUUCUUGGAGGUGACAGCACCUCUAUAGCCAUGAAACAUCUGCGCUUAGGUUUUUAUAGAAUCAUCUCAGAAAGUAUCACAAGUGAAAACCCAUCAGUUAAGAUGAGGGAAUGGCUAGACUUUACUGGCCUAACAAUUUCUUGACUUUUAAAACAGUCCACUGUUUAGAGAAAAAUAAUCUGUAAAUUCUGUUAUUCUGUACAAAACAUGAUCCAAUAGAAUGGACCAGAUUGUGCCCCUCAAUGAGAUUAUAUUGCCUCAUCACAUAAGCUUAAAUGCAUAUGAAAAAUGCGUAUUUUUGAGAAUACAAACUUCUGCAGAUUCUUCAGGAGAUCGAGGUACACAUGUUAGCUCCUUUUCUCACACAUCCUGUUUUUAAACUUUGCUUCAAAUGGCUUUUUACCCCAGGUUCUAGAAUUUGACUAUUGUCAAAACUAAGUAUCUACUUAAAUGUUAGUGUUUUUACGUCCAAGAAUCUCAUUGUUAACCUGACUUACAUAUGUGUGUGUGUGUGUGUGUGUACCCAUGCCUGCUUUUGUGAGGGAUAAUGCUCGAAAACUGGCAGUCCCUUGCGCUUGUAGUUCCUAUAUUCUAAAGGAGAAGGAAGUUCACAUAAAGACAC